GAUGAACGCUGGCGGCGUGCCUAAUACAUGCAAGUCGAGCGAACAGACGAGGAGCUUGCUCCUCUGACGUUAGCGGCGGACGGGUGAGUAACACGUGGAUAACCUACCUAUAAGACUGGGAUAACUUCGGGAAACCGGAGCUAAUACCGGAUAAUAUAUUGAACCGCAUGGUUCAAUAGUGAAAGACGGUUUUGCUGUCACUUAUAGAUGGAUCCGCGCCGCAUUAGCUAGUUGGUAAGGUAACGGCUUACCAAGGCAACGAUGCGUAGCCGACCUGAGAGGGUGAUCGGCCACAAUGGAACUGAGACACGGUCCAGACUCCUACGGGAGGCAGCAGUAGGGAAUCUUCCGCAAUGGGCGAAAGCCUGACGGAGCAACGCCGCGUGAGUGAUGAAGGUCUUCGGAUCGUAAAACUCUGUUAUUAGGGAAGAACAAAUGUGUAAGUAACUAUGCACGUCUUGACGGUACCGAAUCAGAAAGCCACGGCUAACUACGU
rnacentral:rRNA from 1 species